rnacentral:rRNA from 1 species
GACGAACGCUGGCGGCGUGCUUAACACAUGCAAGUCGAGCGGCGCGGCGAACGGGUGAGUAACGCGUGAGUAACUGCCCCCCUCUCUGGGAUGACAGUUGGAAACGGCUGCUAAUACCGGAUCGUGGGGGAUGACUCGCGUCCUAUCAGCUUGUGGGUGGGGUAGUGGCCUACCAAGGCGACGACGGGUAGCCGGCCUGAGAGGGCGACCGGCCACAGUGGGCUGAGAGACGGCCCAAACUCCAACGGGAGGCAGCAGGGGGGAAUAUUGCACAAGGGGGGAAACCCUGAGGCAGCAACGCGGGUUCGGGAUGACGGCCUUCGGGUUGUAAACCGCUUUCGGCCAUGACGCGGUAGUGGCAGAAGAAGCACCGGCUAACUACGUGCCAGCCGCCGCGGUAAUUC